rnacentral:rRNA from 1 species
ACGGAGGGUGCAAGCGUUAAUCGGAAUUACUGGGCGUAAAGCGCACGCAGGCGGUCUGUCAAGUCGGAUGUGAAAUCCCCGGGCUCAACCUGGGAACUGCAUUCGAAACUGGCAGGCUAGAGUCUUGUAGAGGGGGGUAGAAUUCCAGGUGUAGCGGUGAAAUGCGUAGAGAUCUGGAGGAAUACCGGUGGCGAAGGCGGCCCCCUGGACAAAGACUGACGCUCAGGUGCGAAAGCGUGGGGAGCAAACAGGAUUAGAUACCCUGGUAGUCCACGCCGUAAACGAUGUCGAUUUGGAGGUUGUGCCCUUGAGGCGUGGCUUCCGGAGCUAACGCGUUAAAUCGACCGCCUGGGGAGUACGGCCGCAAGGUUAAAACUCAAAUGAAUUGACGGGGGCCCGCACAAGCGGUGGAGCAUGUGGUUUAAUUCGAUGCAACGCGAAGAACCUUACCUGGUCUUGACAUCCACAGAACUUAGCAGAGAUGCUUUGGUGCCUUCGGGAACUGUGAGACAGGUGCUGCAUGGCUGUCGUCAGCUCGUGUUGUGAAAUGUUGGGUUAAGUCCCGCAACGAGCGCAACCCUUAUCCUUUGUUGCCAGCGGUUAGGCCGGGAACUCAAAGGAGACUGCCAGUGAUAAACUGGAGGAAGGUGGGGAUGACGUCAAGUCAUCAUGGCCCUUACGACCAGGGCUACACACGUGCUACAAUGGCAUAUACAAAGAGAAGCGACCUCGCGAGAGCAAGCGGACCUCAUAAAGUAUGUCGUAGUCCGGAUUGGAGUCUGCAACUCGACUCCAUGAAGUCGGAAUCGCUAGUAAUCGUAGAUCAGAAUGCUACGGUGAAUACGUUCCUGGGCCUUGUACACACCGCCCGUCACACCAUGGGAGUGGGUUGCAAAAGAAGUAGGUAGCUUAACCUUCGGGAGGGCGCUUACCACUUUGUGAUUCAUGACUGGGGUGAAGUCGUAACAAGGUAACCAAUCGAAUUCACGCGGAAACCCCGGGGGCC